rnacentral:rRNA from 1 species
GAUGAACGCUGGCGGCGUGCCUAAUACAUGCAAGUCGAGCGAACAGACGAGGAGCUUGCUCCUCUGACGUUAGCGGCAGACGGGGGAGUAACACGUGGAUAACCUACCUAUAAGACUGGGAUAACUUCGGGAAACCGGAGCUAAUACCGGAUAAUAUAUUGAACCGCAUGGUUCAAUAGUGAAAGACGGUUUUGCUGUCACUUAUAGAUGGAUCCGCGCCGCAUUAGCUAGUUGGUAAGGUAACGGCUUACCACGGCGACGAUGCGUAGCCGACCUGAGAGGGUGAUCGGCCACACUGGAACUGAGACACGGUCCAGACUCCUACGGGAGGCAGCAGUAGGGAAUCUUCCGGAAUGGGCGAAAGCUUGACGGAGCAACGCCGCGUGGGUGAUGAAGGUCGUCGGAUCGUAAAACUCUGUUAUUAGGGAAGAACAAAGUUGUAAGUAACUAGGCACGUCUUGACGGUACCUAAUCAGAAAGCCACGGCUAACUACGUG